GAUGAAGAACGCAGCGAAAUGCGAUAAGUAAUGUGAAUUGCAGAAUUCAGUGAAUCAUCGAAUCUUUGAACGCACAUUGCGCCCGCCAGUAUUCUGGCGGGCAUGCCUGUCUGAGCGUCAUUUCAACCCUCAAGCAACUUCUGCUUGGUGUUGGGGAUCGGCCGUCAAACGCCGCCCCCGAAAUCUAUUGGCGACCUCGCUGUAGCUUCCUAUGCGUAGUAGUAACAUCUCGCAUCUGGAGAGCGGCGCGGUCAUGCCGUAAAACACCCAACUUCUCAGGUUGACCUCAGAUCAGGUAGGAAUACCCGCUGAACUUAAGCAUAUCAAUAAGCGGAGGA
rnacentral:misc_RNA from 1 species